AUAUGUUAAAAGUCAGAAUGAUCGAGAAUUUGAGAUCAUCCAAAAACGCAUCACAAGUUGGAGUUGAACACCAAAACAUAGUCCUCUGGAAAGAUCUAACCAUUUGUAUAUCCUCCACUCUUUGACUAAUCUUUGCAGAACCACUACCCUCUUGCUUCUGCUGCAUCUAAAGGAGCACAAACACACACCAAAAGCGAGAUCAGCUUAAGAAUCGACUAGGACCUCAAAUCCACCUCAUAUUAGCUGAUGAUGAUGGAACUCAUGAUGAGAACGAGAAGACCACACGAGCGAUAGCCAUUCAAAUCUGACCUGCCUCAAAUCCCCUUUGACAUACAACACCCCAUGGAUCUCCACAUACCAGAUCCAGUCCUGCAACCAACCCAUGAAAGCCAACACAAAUGGACCAACCAUCAAGACACUGACCUGACACCAUGACACGUACAAACAACAGAUAGCAAUGGGCAGGAAGACUAACGCAGGGAUCAAGAGUACAGAUAACCAAUAAAACCACAAAGAGUAGUAGAUGGCAAACCAGACGAUUUUAACAGAUUCAGGCUCGCUACCAGCAUUGCCUUAGGCCAAAAUAAAUCUGCAACGACAUGGAGGGCAGAAGCAAAAACCUAAAUCAAAGACAUGAACAUGUAGCCGAAUUAAAUAAAGAUUAAAAUAAGAGAUUUGAGUUUUUUUCCGGUUGUAGGAUGUGCCACUAGUUUGAAGCUUCAUUUUUGCAACUUCGCAGCUAAAUCUGAAUUUGAAAUAUUGCCUAGUAAGAAAUCUUAGUACUAUAAUCUAAGUUAAGGAAUUGAGAAGAUAGAUUUAGAAGAACUGCAAACUCAGCAUAAGGUAGGUUGCCUUGAGUUCGUGAACUACGACCUGCAACGAGCAAGAUACCUUUCUAUAAAUGUUUCAGUUAGGGAGAGAACUGGAUUAAAUGAUGAUGAGUUAAGAUAAAAUAAAGUAAGCCUGUAUCGACUGGGAAGGUCAGGUAGACAAGCUCCAAUUAUAUCCCUUGCAAGGCACCAUCUGCAAGAGCUGAGAAUGACUAAGGCAGGGAAACUAAUGUUUGCUGAGAUAUAAUUAUUUCAAUAAGAAAGGUCCAGAAAGUUUAUCCCCAUAAGAAGAAACGCCAUGCUGAGCCAAAAUAGGACCACCCGCCGCUAGGCUAUGUAAUUCCAGUUUCUGGAGAGCCAGCAGCAUAUCAAAAUCAGAGUUGUUGGGGGACUAAUUGAAUUGUGGAGAAGAACAAAUUAAACAGAGUGAUAUCCCAGAAGAUAAGUGGCUCGCACUAGGCCCUUUGUAAUCCCAGUUUCUGGAUAAGCAGCAAAAUGUCCAAAUCAGAGUUGUACUGUAGUAGGCUAAAUUGAACCAAGAAACUAAAUUAGGAGGGAUUGAUGUGUAUUAUCCGAAUGCAGAUCGUGUAUUCCAGCCUAGGUUGGUAAGAGGUCGAAAGCUUGGAUCAUCCCAGAAGAUUUGAUCAUAUCAGAAUCCGUCGGACUGUAACCAAUCAAUCGAAAUAACCGUUGGACUGUAACCAAUCAUUCAGAAUAACCAUGAACAGAAAUCAAACCUCCGCCGCCCCUUCAUCUGUAUCAUCUCUCCAGAUCUAAGCGCUGGCCCUCUUGGUUCUGCAUCUAGGAUGAGAGCACAUACACCAAAAGCAGAUCAGCCGGUACAACAAGAAUCCACGAGGGCCUCGAAUUCACCUAGUGGGAACAUGGAACCGGAAGGACGCACGGGCGACCGCCGUUCAAUUCAAUUCAAUUCAAAUCUAAAACCACCGACGAGACGGACGCAGGUGACGGAACCAAGGAACCGAUCUGACCGAUCGAGCACGGGAAACUGACCUUGCUUCGGCCCUGGGGUCACCCGAGACCAAAUCAGACGCAGAGGCAAAACCGACCAGCUCGACGGAAUCCCCGAUCGAUCGAUCCCGGAGGCGGACGAGACGGGCCGAAUCCCCUGCGAGCACAGGAGGCAGAGGCGACGAGGAGCGAAAUCAAACGCGAUUCGAAACGAAUCGAGAAUUUGAUGGACAAGGGGGAGGAGACGGUCGCGGAGACGCGAGGGGGCGACUCAGGCGAUCGAGCGCGGAGGCGCGGCCGGAACGAAAGCUCCAAAGGAGAAGAGAGGAGGCCAGAGCGCGGGGAGGAGAGGGCGCACCGGGGCGCCUUUUGUAGACGGCGCAGAGGCGGUUUGGGGAGGGGAGGCCGGCCUGGCGCCAACCGGUUCCUUACCGGACACGGCUUCGCCGCGCUGGCGUGCCCGCCCGCCGGUUAGGCAAGGCAUCAUUGUGCUUUGCGGGCACGUUUUCUUUCUCUUUUUUUUGAAGGACGGGCACGUUUUCUUUAGGGGAAUUGCGGGUGGAGCUGGUGAGAUCGGGCUGGAUCCGGACCGGGUUUGGUUU
rnacentral:lncRNA from 1 species